GACGAACGCUGGCGGCGUGCCUAAUACAUGCAAGUAGAACGCACAGUUUAUACCGUAGCUUGCUACACCAUAGACUGUGAGUUGCGAACGGGUGAGUAACGCGUAGGUAACCUGCCUAGUAGCGGGGGAUAACUAUUGGAAACGAUAGCUAAUACCGCAUAAUAUUAAUUAUUGCAUGAUAAUUAAUUGAAAGGUGCAAUUGCACCACUACCAGAUGGACCUGCGUUGUAUUAGCUAGUAGGUGAGGUAACGGCUCACCUAGGCGACGAUACAUAGCCGACCUGAGAGGGUGAUCGGCCACACUGGGACUGAGACACGGCCCAGACUCCUACGGGAGGCAGCAGUAGGGAAUCUUCGGCAAUGGACGAAAGUCUGACCGAGCAACGCCGCGUGAGUGAAGAAGGUUUUCGGAUCGUAAAGCUCUGUUGUAAGAGAAGAACGGGUGUGAGAGUGGAAAGUUCACACUGUGACGGUAUCUUACCAGAAAGGGACGGCUAACUACGUG
rnacentral:rRNA from 1 species